CGGGACACGUGGUAUCCUGUCUGAAUAUGGGGGGACCAUCCUCCAAGGCUAAAUACUCCUGACUGACCGAUAGUGAACCAGUACCGUGAGGGAAAGGCGAAAAGAACCCCGGCGAGGGGAGUGAAAAAGAACCUGAAACCGUGUACGUACAAGCAGUGGGAGCACCCUUCGGGGUGUGACUGCGUACCUUUUGUAUAAUGGGUCAGCGACUUAUAUUCUGUAGCAAGGUUAACCGAAUAGGGGAGCCGGAGGGAAACCGAGUCUUAAUUGGGCGUUAAGUUGCAGGGUAUAGACCCGAAACCCGGUGAUCUAGCCAUGGGCAGGUUGAAGGUUGGGUAACACUAACUGGAGGACCGAACCGACUAAUGUUGAAAAAUUAGCGGAUGACCUGUGGCUGGGGGUGAAAGGCCAAUCAAACCGGGAGAUAGCUGGUUCUCCCCGAAAGCUAUUUAGGUAGCGCCUCGUGAAUUCAUCUCCGGGGGUAGAGCACUGUUUCGGCUAGGGGGCCAUCCCGGCUUACCAACCCGAUGCAAACUGCGAAUACCGGAGAAUGUUAUCACGGGAGACACACGGCGGGUGCUAACGUCCGUCGUGAAGAGGGAAACAACCCAGACCGCCAGCUAAGGUCCCAAAGUCAUGGUUAAGUGGGAAACGAUGUGGGAAGGCCCAGACAGCCAGGAUGUUGGCUUAGAAGCAGCCAUCAUUUAAAGAAAGCGUAAUAGCUCACUGGUCGAGUCGGCCUGCGCGGAAGAUGUAACGGGGCUAAACCAUGCACCGAAGCUGCGGCAGCGACACUGUGUGUUGUUGGGUAGGGGAGCGUUCUGUAAGCCUGUGAAGGUGUGUCGUGAGGC
rnacentral:rRNA from 1 species